UAAAAGAACUCAUUUUUAGUACCGCCUGCUCCAUGAACAUUUGAAUAGCCGCAGACCCCCUGUGCUAAGGUAGCAUAAUCACUUGCCUAAUAAUUAUAGGAUAGAAUGAAAGGUACCACACGUUUCCUUCUUUAUUAAUAAGACUAUUUUAACUUAAAAUUUAAGUAAAAAUACUUAAAUCAUUAGGGGGACGACAAGACCCUGUCGAACUUUACUUUUAGUUUAGCUGGGGCGGCAAGAAAAUUACACCUUUUCAUCUCCUACCAACAAACCUUAACAUAAGAUAAACAAGUUACCGCAGGGAUAACAGCAUAAUUUUUUUCCAAAGACCUUAUACAAAAAAAAGAUUGUGACCUCGAUGUUGAAUUAAAAUUCUUUUAGACGCAGAAUUCUAAAUAGAAAGUCUGUUCGACUUUUAAAAACUU
rnacentral:rRNA from 1 species